CCCUUAAUAGGUGGUAAAUGUGUCACUUGUAUGUAAAUGAAGGGAUUUUCCUGACUGUGAAAUGGUUCAUCUUUUAACACUACAGGGUACUUUAAAAGGGAAACCGUAUGUGUUAAUUACCAAAAUUGAUCAAAUACAAUGUAACGCUAAUUGUGUAUAAUUAAAUCCAGACGUUGUAAACAGAUUAUACCAAUUACGCAAGCCAAGAGUUGCCAGAUAAAGACAUCAUUAAACAUGCAGAUUGUAUUCGUGAAAACGUGUUAAUACUUUGUAAUAAAAUAUUGUAUUAUUGAAAAACGC
rnacentral:lncRNA from 1 species